rnacentral:rRNA from 1 species
UACGUAGGGCGCAAGCGUUGUCCGGAAUUAUUGGGCGUAAAGAGCUCGUAGGCGGUUUGUCGCGUCUGCUGUGAAAACCUAAGGCUCAACCUUGGGCUUGCAGUGGGUACGGGCAGACUAGAGUGCGGUAGGGGUGACUGGAAUUCCUGGUGUAGCGGUGGAAUGCGCAGAUAUCAGGAGGAACACCGAUGGCGAAGGCGGGUCUCUGGGCCGUAACUGACGCUGAGGAGCGAAAGCAUGGGGAGCGAACAGG